CAGGGAUUUGAACCUCGCUUACGAGGUUUGGUGAUCCAUCUUCUGAGUAUCGCCGGGAUUUUGAAUCGCGAUGAUCAUCCCCUCCCUAGAGGAGCUGGACUCCCUCAAGUACAGUGACCUGCAGAACUUAGCCAAGAGUCUGGGUCUCCGGGCCAACCUGCGGGCAGACAAGUUGUUAAAAGCCUUGAAAGGCCACGUUAAACAUGAGGCAAGAAAAGAAAAUGAGAAUCAGGACGAAAGUCAAACUUCUGCAUCCUCUUGUGAUGAGACUGAGAUACAGAUGAGCAACCAGGAACAAGCUGAGAGAGAGCCAACUGGCCAUGUCACCAAAACAAGGAGAAGGCGCAGGACUGUCCGUGUGGACCCUGACUCGCAGAAUCUUGAAAAGCAGGAAAACCAGGAUCUCAGAGCUACUGCAAAUGUUCCUUCUCCACCAGAUGAGCACCAAGGAGCUGAGAAUGCUAUUUCCUCAGGUAAACGUAACAAAGAUUCAAAGGUACCUUCAAAAAGAAAGAAAUCUGUCUACACAGAUGAGUCAUCCAAACCUGGAAAAAAUAAAAGAACUGCAAUCACUAUUCCUACUCCAAACUUUAAGAAGCUUCAUGAAGCUCAUUUUAAGGAAAUGGAGUCCAUCGAUCAAUAUAUUGAGAGAAAAAAGAAACAUUUUGAAGAACACAAUUCCGUGAAUGAUCUGAAGCAUCCCAGCAAUAAGGGAGGGGUCAGGACUCCAGUACCUCCAAGAGGAAGACUCUCUGUGGCUUCUACUCCCAUCGGCCAACGACACUCGCAAGGCCGGUCUUGUGGCCCUGCAAGUCGGAGUACCUUGGGUCUGAAGGGGUCACUCAAGCGCUCUGCUAUCUCUACAGCUAAAACAGGUGUCAGGUUUUCAGCUGCUACUAAAGAUAAUGAGCAUAAGCGUUCACUAACCAAGACUCCAGCCAGAAAGUCUGCACAUGUGGCCGUGUCUGGGGGCACCCCAAAAGUUAUUACCCCAUUCAAGUUGACAACUGAGGCAACGCAGACUCCAGUCUCCAAUAAGAAACCAGUGUUUGAUCUUAAAGCAAGUUUGUCUCGUCCCCUCAACUAUGAACCACACAAAGGAAAGCUAAAACCAUGGGGGCAAGCUAAAGAAAAUAAUUAUCUAAAUCAGCAUAUCAACAGAAUUAACUUCUACAAGAAAACUUACAAACAACCCCUUCUCCAGACAAAGGAAGAGCAACGGAAGAAACGCGAGCAAGAAUGAAAGGAGAAGAAAGCAAAGGUUUUGGGAAUGCGAAGGGGCCUCAUUUUGGCUGAAGAUUAAUAAUUUUUUAACAUCUUGUAAAUAUUCCUGUGUUCUGAACUUUUUUCCUUUUGUAAAUUUUUUUUUUAUGUCUUCCCCACUUUAGUCACGAGAUCUUUUUCUGCUAACUGUUCGUAUUCUAUGUAGUGUCCAUGUAUGUAGUAUCCGUGGGUUCUUCAUGGGCUACAAUCUCUGAAAAGACAUUAUCACCUUAAAGCUCACAUUCUUUGGGAUAAUUUUUACUUAAGUCCCUAUAAAUUCAGGUUUCUAAUGAGACACAUCCUAAAAUUCUGUUCCUAGAUUUUUAAUGUUAAGUUUCCCCUGCUGGUUCUAAUAUUAAUAGAACCGCAGUCUUCUGCUAGUCUAUAGCAUUUAUCUAAUGGCAGCUAGUUAUACAAGCUUCAGGAGAAUUUAAACAAUAACAAGAAUAGGGUAAGCUGGGAUAGAAAGGCCACCUUUUCGGUCUCUAUAGAAUAUAGUAACCUUUAUGAAAUACGGGGCCAUAUGAUUUGGUUAUGACAUCAAUAUUUUACCUAGGUGAAAUUGUUUAGGCUUGUGCACCUUUGUUCAAAUAGCCUCAUGUAAUUGCCAUCUGUCACUCACUAUAUUUGCAUAAAUAAAACUCCACAACUCAUUCUAACAUUGCUUACUUGAAAGCUACG